GUAAACUCCCUUUUCAAACUCAAAAUGGUGUUUUAAGGCACCUAAAGCUUUAAGACUUUUAUCAAGACUAGUUCCCAUUUUAUCUAAGGCCUUAAGCACAUCAAAAUCAUUUAUCAAAGUGAGUUUACGGCCAAGACUUUGUUCUUGGGCCGUAAACAUGAAAGGAUGGCACCAAAGUGUGCCUAAUGUCUUCAUAUGCUUGGAAUAAAAGCCUAGAACUUAUACCACCUAUGCUUGAGACUUGAAAACAACAAGAACACCAUUCCAAUGGAGUUUACGGCCGUAAACUCCAAAGGAAAUGGCCUUAGGGCCGUAAACUCCUAAUUGGAGUGUUUCUAGACCUUAAACCCUUUCAAGAAUUGAACCACCAAGUUGGAAUAAUUCUAGGAAUCAUUUGGGACUUCAAAACAAACAAUACCCCCAUGGUUGGGAGUUUACGGCCGUAAACUCAAGAGUUUACAACCGUAAACUCCAUGUGUGAUGGUAUAUGGGGAGUAAACUCAUAUAUGGGGUCCUUUGGAACCCUAAACACAAGUGCCUUGUCCCACAAUAGCUUAGAUGCAAUCCUUAGGGCUUAAAACACUUAUAUAAAGUGUUUAUUAUGUCUAGGAUGUCUUAACAUUAUCAAUUAGUGAUUUGAGACUAAUUGAGUGCAUAUAUGUGUGAUUAUAUGUUCAUUAGGAUCGUAGUGUGUGUACAAGUCCUCGCUUGACACCUAGCAAUCCUAUACCGUUCAGUUCAUCCCAAUCACCAACUACAGGUGAGUUCAUACCCCUAAUCAAUGUUUUAAAUGAUUUUAAAUGCUUUAAAGGGGGGAAUACAAGUAGAAACAAACAUGNAUGUGUUUGUCAGUUAACAGAUUUCACAUGCUACAAAUGUGAUGCAUGAAAUGGUUUUAAAUCUUAAAAAGACAUUGUUAUCAAAUGUUUUACCUUUGAAAUGUUUAUUAAAAUGACAUCAAGUCAUUGUUAAUUAUUGUUCAAAACCCAUAAGAUGUCUUACAAAACCAUUUUACAUUCUUGAACUAAACUAUGCAUAUACACUUAUAUUCUUAUAUAUGUAUUGAUGUUAUAGUUUACAUCUUUCAUUUAGUUUCCCACACCCUUGAGUAGUAAGAGUGUAUAAACCUACAUGAUCAACCAAUUACAUUACAGUAAAUUAUCAUAGGGAUAAUUUGAAGAUAUCAAACAUUACUUCUAUUACAAGGAAUCACACAAGAGUCAGUUCAUUCAUGAGUCUAUACUAGUACAUUACCUGAUACAUGAGUACAUACACAUGUUUACCUGAUACAUGAAUAUGUUUACAUAUACUUACCUGUUACAUGGACACACAUACAUGAAUACCAUACAGGAACACUUUUACAUAGGUGCAUUAUCCUGUAUUCACUUACCUGGAUACUUGUACUUAGAACUACGAGGAUGAUUUAUUAGUACUUACUGUGUAAAUUAUCUUUCCUAUCCCGGUUCAAUGGGAUAUCUCGGCGGGACUUACCAUUCCGAACCCCACUGAUUAGCACCAGUGGUCGAUGACCAUCUACGGAGGUCUAAGGUUACUACUUAUACUAGGUAGAUCGAUAACCGGGGCUAACCCCUCCACCCACCUGCUGCUGCUACAGAGGACAAGUGGACAAUCUUCGAUUGUUCAUUAGGUUAUACCUUUCGCUUAUUGCGAUGUUGUGUUACUCCUAGUACCCAACGAUGACACUUACAUUAUUACUUUUUCUGGACAAUCUUCGGAUGUUCAUUAGGUUACAUAUUUCGCUUAAUGCGAUGUUGUGUUAGUCCUAGUACCCAGUGACAACACUUACAGUAGUACAUUUUCCUGUUUACUUUAUUUUGUGAUACUUUCACAUAAACGAUGAGUUAGACUAAGUACUUUAGUACUAAACAAUUAAAGGAAAAACUAUCAUUUUACUUACAAAACAUUCGGGUCUUGGUAGAAGACUACAUUUCAUACUUAUAGAAAAUAAGGGUUUUUCUAGGGAUUUCAUACUUACCUCAACAUUUUCAUUUAAAGGUUUACAUGGCCUUCAUAACAGAUUUUCAUAAGCAAGACAACGACACUUAAUUUCUUAUGAAUUCACCAGCUUUAAAGCUGAUACUCUCUUUCAAAAUAACUUGUAUUCUCAGGUCAUCAGUAGACAGGUACGGUGGCCAGGUUUUGAGAAGACGGAGCAGACAAGUCUCGUCUUUUAUUUUGAUUGUAUAUUUUUGGUGUCUUAUUACAAUGAAAGAACACACAUGUAUUAAAACUUUACUUAUAAUGCAAUGGAUGAUGUUGUUGCUUGUUUAUUAUAUUACACUGUUGUGAUACUGUACAUGACGUCCUCCACCCCUGAACGUUUCCGCCGUUCGUGGUUUUGGGGUGUGACAGAUUGGUAUCAGAGCAUUGUUUAUAGUGAAUUAAGUAUAUCAACCCAUAAAAGAUAUACUAACUAUAAAUACAUGGGGAUUAAAACACUCUGUCUAAGAGUUAUACUUUUAAAUAAUAAAAUAUUUAACAAAGUAUACGUGCCUGCAUUCAUACUAAAAUCAGUGUCACAAUGACAAGAACAAAAGUAUUACGAUUGUUGAAUAUCACAAGUAAGCCUGGGGAUAUAUGGUCAGUCUUGGGAAUGGCAUAGCCUGAUCAACUAUGCUGGUCCGAGGAGUGAUUAGCAUAUGCCCAAGAAUGGUUGUGAUAUGGCAACAAGUCUAAAAACUUACCAACACAACCAUAAAGAAAUACCAUAGGGGUAUUUGGUCUUACUGUAAUUAUCUUAGUCAGUUCGUCUAUUUAGCUAUUUCUUAUAUCCCUUUUCUCGCGUAGAUUUAAAUGGCUGGAUUUCACCAUGGCGAUCCGUACUUCCCGAACCAAGGCAAUGCUGGUUGGCUAGAGGCAGAACCAGAAGAUGAUCACCCAAUCCCUUUGGAUGAUCACCAUGCUGAGGGUUUUUCCGAUAGUUCUGACUCGGAGCCUGAAGUCAACAACCUACCCCCAGCUGCUCAAAACCCAAACCUGAACCCCCGUCCCGCGUUUCAAGGACCCACACCUCUGUGGGCCACUAACUUGACUAGAUGGAGUCAGGAACAAGGUCAGCCCAUUCCCUACAAUGGAGACCGAAGUUUCUACAACCUCACUGAAGGAGGUUCUGCUGACAGGGUCCUACCCAUCAUGGUUCGUAGAAUUUCCAGAAACACGAUACUGGGUCAAGCAACUAUUGACCGGGUCGUGGAGAUUGAAGCCAACUCUGGCGUUAACACUGUCCACAUUCGCCAACUAGAGUCUGCUCAUGAAAGGACUCUGGUCCGCAAUGCAAAUCUGCAGAGGGAACUUGCUGAAACUCAAGCUGAAGUUAGGGAACUUCGAGCUCAGCAAGUGAGAGCUGACAGGCGUAUGAGGGACAUGGAACGUCUACUGUCGGGAUCAAGAACUCAUGCUAGCAGUUCUCGUCGCCGAUAGAAUCUCGUCGACUCAUCUUUUGGAUAUAACCUAGUUUAUGUAAAACUUUGGUCUAAUUUCCUAUCUUUAUAAAUCUUAGACCUGUUAGGUCUUGAUCUAGUCUUAAUUCUGUCAAAAUUUUCCAUCUUGGUUGAUGUAAGGCCUACUUCUAGGCCAUUUUUCCCGAACUUGUUACAUCUGUAAUUCCAGUAUUAUUGACAGAUAUCUAAUCUUAUGGAAAUUAUUAUCCAAAUGCUGUCAUCUUCAUUUAGUCAUUCUAUUCAUUCUGUUGUUGGACUAUGGGGAGUUAGUCCAUGAGACACAUUCAUUAAUCAUUUAUUCUUAUCCAUGUCGUCAUCUUUUAAACGUAUAGUUAAAGAUGCCGCCACGCAGAAAUACAAGGCGUAACCCAAACAACGAAGCACCGAUACCACCACCUCCACCACCACCUGAACCUCUUCAACCACCUAAUCCUUUCGAUGCCAACAUGUUCCAGGCAGCUUUCACAGCAGCAGUUGCAGCUGCUGUGUCAGCAAUCAACGCUCCUGCCCCUAGUGGAUCAGGAACAGGUGCACCACCCUCGAACCACGGCGAAAGCCAUGGACACCCUCGGGAAUGCACCUACAAGGACUUCACGAACGCCAAACCCCGCAGCUUCAAUGGAACUGGGGGUGUUAUGGUGUUGAGACAAUGGAUUGAAAAGAUGGAAUCCGUCUUUGAAAUCUGUGCUUGCCAGGAGGGCAACAAGGUCAAGUUUGCAGCUUGUACCUUCUCUGACAGAGCACUAACAUGGUGGAACAGCCAUGUUAACUAUCUGACUUUGGUGGUGGCGUAUUCCAUCAGCUGGGAAAAGUUGAAGGACAUGCUGAUGAAAGAAUACUGUCCUCGAGGCGAAGUACAAAAACUCGAGCAGGAAUUCUGGGGUCUACAAAUGGUUGGAUCCGACAUCACGACCUACACAAAUAGGUUCUGUGAUCUGGCAAACUUAUGCCCUGACAUGGUUGCUCUCCAGAGCAAAAAGAUAGAGAGAUAUAUCUGGGGACUGUCGCCCCAGAUCCAGUCAAGUGUGAUCGCUUCCAGGCCUAUUACCUUCGAUAGCGCCAAGGAACUGGCACAAUCUCUCAUCGAUCACCGGAAACCUCAGAACACAACAAUCCCUACACCCGUACCACAAAAGUCCAACCCCGACUACAACAAGAAGGGGUGGAAUAAGAGGAAAAGAGGGGCUUCGCAAGGAUCCUCCAAUAAACAACAACUUGUGGCGAUCAAUGCUGCCACAGUGACUCCUGUUGUCCCUGCGAACCCCUUACCAGCAAAAACUUAUGCUGGAACUCUUCCGAAGUGCACCAAGUGCAACUACCACCACCACGGACCUUGCAAGGAGAUGCAGUGCUCUAACUGCAACAGGAAGGGGCAUACAGCCCGUGUCUGCAGGACGCCAACAGCUCAGGCCACCCAGGUUCCUAACGCCGGUAUGGGCCAAGCUUGCUAUGGUUGUGGCGAAGUGGGCCACUACAAGAGGAACUGCCCUAAAGCGGGGAUGGCUGGAGGAGUAGGAAGAGUUAUGGCCCUAGGCCACGAGGAAGCGGUAGCUGAUCCUACGAUAGUUACUGGUACGUUUCUCCUCGAUAACUCAUAUGCUUGCAUACUUUUCGAUAGUGGAGCAGAGAAAAGUUUUGUAAGUCACAAAUUUGCACACCUGCUUAAACAAAAACCAUGUGCAUUAGAUAGUUCAUUCACGGUAGAAAUGGCUAACGGGAAAACAGAGAGUACAAACUGCAUAUACGUAGGUUGUACCUUAACUUUAGAUGGCCAUACUUUCAAGAUAGAUCUCAUGCCAGUCCCAAUUAAAUGUUUCGACGUUAUCAUCGGUAUGGAUUGGUUGAGUCUUCUUCGUGCCGACAUUAUGUGCUUCGAAAAAGCAGUUCGUCUUAACCUUCCUAACAACGAAACUUUAAUUAUCUACGGCGACAAACCUAGUACGAGCCUUCGCAUCAUUUCGUGCAUUCAAGCCCAGAAGUGCUUGCGGAAGGAGUACCAUGCAUUUCUCGCACACGUCGUCGAUACCAGUCAAGAACUGAAAGACAUCCAGAAAAUCCCAGAAGUACGCGACUUUCCCGACAUAUUCCCAGAAGAACUUCCCGGUUUACCACCACAACGCCAAGUCGAGUUCAGAAUCGACUUAGUGCCAGGGGCUACCCCCGUAGCCAAAUCUCCUUAUCGUCUGGCACCGGCUGAAAUGCAGGAACUUUCCAGUCAACUUAACGAACUUCUCAAGAAGGGAUUCAUUCGACCAAGCUUCUCACCAUGGGGAGCACCGGUCUUGUUCGUCAAGAAGAAAGAUGGAUCGUUUCGCAUGUGCAUCGACUAUAGAGAACUCAACAAACUUACCAUUAAAAAUCGUUAUCCCUUGCCCCGCAUUGACGAUUUAUUUGAUCAACUUCAAGGAGCCAACUACUUCUCGAAGAUAGAUCUGCGAUCCGGAUAUCACCAACUACGAGUAUUAGAGGAGGAUGUUCCCAAGACAGCCUUCCGAACUCGUUAUGGGCACUACGAGUUUGUAGUGAUGCCAUUCGGAUUAACUAACGCGCCCGCAGUAUUCAUGGAUCUGAUGAAUAGGGUGUGUCGUCCUUACUUGGAUCAGUUCGUCAUCGUCUUCAUUGAUGACAUACUCAUCUACUCUCGAAGUAAGGAGGAGCAUGGUCAACAUCUCCGUAAAAUCUUAGAAACAUUGCGAGCGGAGAAGCUCUACGCGAAGUUCUCAAAGUGCGAAUUUUGGAUUCGGCGAGUCGAAUUUUUGGGCCAUGUGGUUAGCGAAGAAGGUAUACACGUGGACCCUUCCAAAAUUAAGGCCAUCGAGAACUGGUCAGCACCAAAGACACCUACUGAAAUUCGUCAAUUUCUAGGUCUAGCUGGCUACUAUCGCAGGUUCAUUCAGAACUUCUCCAGCAUAGCGAAACCUCUUACAACCCUGACCCAGAAAGGCGUGGCCUUCGACUGGGAGGAGAAACAGGAAAGAGCGUUCCAAACGCUCAAACGAGCCUUGUGCACCGCCCCGAUACUAUCCCUUCCCGAAGGAAUAGAAGACUUCAUUGUCUAUUGCGAUGCAUCCAAUCAAGGACUCGGAUGUGUUCUGAUGCAGCGAGGUAAAGUCAUCGCCUAUGCCUCGAGACAGCUGAAGACACAUGAGGUUAACUACACAACCCACGAUCUUGAACUAGGAGCAGUUGUGUUUGCUCUGAAGAUCUGGCGACAUUACCUGUACGGUACAAAAAGCACGAUCUUUACAGACCAUAAGAGUCUACAACACAUUUUCGACCAGAAAGAGCUCAACAUGAGACAACGACGGUGGGUCGAGCUACUUAGUGAUUACGAAUGCGAAAUUCGUUAUCAUCCGGGUAAAGCCAAUGUAGUAGCCGACGCCCUAAGUCGGAAAGAAUAUACUGGUCGUAGAGUCAAAUCUUUGACUCUAACUAUCCAUUCACACUUGUCCACGCAAAUAAAGGAGGCUCAGCUCGACGCUUUGAAACCUAAAAACGUGGCGGGUGAAUCCCUUAGAGGGAUGUAUAAGAACUUAGAAAUCAAGGGUGGCGGAGAUUUAUACCUCAUGGAUCGGAUCUGGACACCGAAAUAUGGUGGCUUCAAAGACUUGGUCAUGACCGAAGCUCACAACACUCGUUAUUCCGUCCACCCGGGUUCAGAUAAGAUGUACCUGGAUCUUAAAAAGUUAUACUGGUGGCCUAACAUGAAAGCAGAUAUUGCUACCUUCGUGAGUAAAUGCCUUACUUGCGCAAAGGUCAAGGUCGAAUACCAGAAACCCUCCGGUCUUCUACAACAACCGGAGAUACCAGAAUGGAAGUGGGAGCGGAUCACUAUGGACUUCAUAACCAAGUUGCCCAAGACGACGGGUGGACUUGAUUCCAUAUGGGUCAUCGUCGAUAGACUGACCAAGUCUGCACACUUCCUACCGAUCAAAGAAACAGACAAGAUGGAGAAACUUACCAGAACUUACAUUAGGGAGAUUGUAAGGCUGCACGGUGUUCCUUUAUCUAUCAUCUCAGACCGAGAUAGUAGAUUCACUUCGAGGUUCUGGCAGUCAUUACAAAGUUCCCUAGGAACUAGGCUGGACAUGAGUACAGCCUACCAUCCACAGACCGACGGGCAAAGUGAGAGGACUAUCCAAACCUUAGAAGAUAUGUUGCGUGCCUGUGUGAUUGACUUUGGAAAAGCUUGGGAUACUCAUUUACCCCUUGUUGAAUUUUCCUACAACAACAGUUAUCAUACGAGCAUAAAGGCAGCUCCAUUCGAGGCCCUCUAUGGCCGAAAGUGCAGAUCCCCUCUGUGCUGGGCUGAAGUGGGUGAUACCCAGUUAGCUAAGGGACGAGUUCCCGAAAGCACUCUCACGGGUCCGGAGAUCAUUCGGGAAACGACAGAGAAGAUCGUUCAAAUUCGUGAACGAUUGAAAGCCUCUAGAGACCGACAGAAAAGCUACGCUGACAAGCGUAGGAAACCAUUGGAGUUCCAGGUGGGCGACCGAGUCCUACUGAAGGUCUCACCCUGGAAGGGCUUGAUACGCUUUGGAAAGCGUGGGAAGCUCAAUCCAAGAUACAUAGGGCCUUUCGAGAUUCUCGCGAGAAUCGGCCCUGUAGCUUACAAACUCAAUCUACCGCAAGAACUCAGUAACGUACAUCCUACCUUCCACGUGUCAAACUUGAAAAAGUGUCUAUCCGACGAGACUCUUGUUAUUCCACUCGACGAGAUCGAGAUCAACGAGAGCCUCAACUUCGUGGAGGAACCAGUAGAGAUCAUGGACCGAGAGGUCAAGCAAACAAAGCAGAGCCGUAUCCCGAUAGUGAAGGUGCGCUGGAACGCAAAGCGUGGACCGGAAUUCACUUGGGAACGUGAGGAUCAGAUGAAACUGAAAUACCCUCACCUUUUCGCUUAGUUAUUUGUAAUUUCUUAUUUGCUUAAAUUCUAAUUUCGGGACGAAAUUCCUUCUAACGGGGGGAUGAUGUGACAACCCGAAAUUUCCAUUCUGUACAAACUAUAUCACUUCAAUAGAAGUUAUAGCAGUCACAGUUAAUUUUCAGACUUUUCGCGUAAGUUUGAGUAAUUCAGGGUUUACACUUCAGGAAAUAUCAGGAGAGUGGGUGCACUAGGGUUUUGUGCAACACUGUUAUUCCAACACUCUAUUAUAUUAGAGAUCAUUUCAGGAAUAAAAAUAUUUUCUGCCAAAAAUAUCUCAGGACUAUAAAUAGAAUUCUGAACCAAAUUCAUUCAUUAUUCACAUUUCCAACUAGAGAAAAGCCAUUUUCUCUCUCACGGAUCUUCGGGUUUUUAUCCCAAAUCGUGAGUACCUCUUUCUAGUAGUGUUAGAAAGCUUUAUAUGUGUUAAUAACAUGAUUUAGAAGGCUAAAUCACUAGAUUUAGGAGUUUACUCCCCAAGGUGUUCUUGGGCGGUAAACUCCCGAAACAAAGCCGAGACCAACCCUUGUGUUAUGCAACUGCCUUAGACUCUUAUGUAUAUGUGUUAGGGACAAGAAAACAGCCUAGAAUCACCCAAUUUUGGGAGUUCACGGCCCAAGAGGUUCUUUGGCCGUAAACUCCCUUUUCAAACUCAAAAUGGUGUUUUAAGGCACCUAAAGCUUUAAGACUUUUAUCAAGACUAGUUCCCAUUUUAUCUAAGGCCUUAAGCACAUCAAAAUCAUUUAUCAAAGUGAGUUUACGGCGAAGACUUUGUUCUUGGGCCGUAAACAUGAAAGGAUGGCACCAAAGUGUGUCUAAUGUCUCCAUGUGUGAUGGUAUAUGGGAAGUAAACUCAUAUAUGGGGUCCUUUGGAACCCUAAAACACAAGUACCUUGUCCCACAAUAGCUUAGAUGCAAUCCUUAGGGCUUAAAACACUUAUAUAAAGUGUUUAUUAUGUCUAGGAUGUCUUAA
rnacentral:lncRNA from 1 species